AUGUGUCAUGAAUCUGCUGCUCCUGUUGACUACAGUAGUUUCUGUGGCUUUAAAGAAGAAUGGCUGGUGUUGUGUUGUAAUGUGUUUUUCCCUCUUACUACAGUUACAUAUCCUUCUUCCCCCACAGCUCCAGUGUCCAGUCCUCAGCUGUCCUCUGAGUGUCUGUCUCAUGGAGAGAUGAGGGUGUCCUGCUCCUCUGAGGGGGAUGGUUCCCAGUACAGCUGGACUCUGGAUCGACAGACGCUGAGACACACUAAGGCCUCUUCUGAUAACGAGACAAACACCAUCACUCUGAAGAAAGGCCUGUCAGGAAAUCUCACCUGUACCGUCAGAAACUACAUCAGCAGUGAUUCUAUCAGCAAGAGAAUCUCACCUUGUCCAGGAGUCAGUGUGUUUGUUUAUUUCCAACUCGCUGAAGUCUUCAUUCUUCUGACAGUCUGUCUGGGAUCAUACUGUUUCUACAAGAAGGAAACCUAUCAUCGUAAAGAAGUAAGCACAGAGUGUAUGCAGUCUCAGGUGGAUCAUGGUGGGACUCAGAUGAGGGUGUUAAUGUCCUGAGAGGUGCUAUGGAGACCAACUAGGCUGUGAGAUUACAUGAUGAUGAUUUAAUAUUGCCAAUCAUUGAAAAUAUUUGUUUUUGCUCUUUAAUAAAAGGUUUAAUUAGGCUUUUAUUAUCAUUUAGAAUUUAUACUGAGCUUAUAGUACAGUGUAUUGCAUUGCAGUGUUUUGUUUUAUGUUGCUUGUGACAUACAGUAACCUAAAUGUAUGAUAUUGGGAAGACUUGUUAAAUGGUGAAAGGUAACAAAACGCUUUCCUUCUUCACUUUAUUAUGCUUUAAUAUAGUGUAUUUGUGUGAUUUUGAAUUCAUAGAAAUACAAGCAAGCAACUUUUAAAACAUUCUGGACCUCAUUUUAAUAACUUGCCAAAUAAUUAUUACAAAUGGUAACUUUGACAAGCUCUACAUAUUGCUCUGGCUGACCUACAAAUAUGUGACUGCUUAAUAAUCAAAAUAAUGAGAAAUGCAUUUUGUGUGUAGUCAUUCAACAGGAGUCAUUUUUAUUUUCAUAGUCUACUGUAGUUGGUACAUAGAUUUAUAACCAAAUCCAUCAACAUUAAAUCAUCUGUUGGGUUAUUUGAAAAACAGUCAUUGUGUGUCAUUUUCAUUAUCUACUACUUUUUUUUAAAAGCACAACAAACGAAGUGACAAUGUGCAGGGUUUUCUGACUUUUCUAUGGGUCCACUGAAAGAAAUGUUAUCACGCAGACUGUAGCACUUCCCUUCAUGAAGAGCCAAUGUUGAGGUGUAGUCAGUCAAACAUCACAAUGUCAUAGACCACAUCUCACGUCACCAGAUCUGUCUCCUACUUCCUAGAAUGAUGGGCGAUGAGUUAGUCACCUGGAAUGCAUUUCAAUUAACAGGAGUCCCUUGUUAAAAUUUCAUUUGUGGAUUCUUUGCCCUUCUUAAUGCGUUUGAGCCAAUCAGUUGUGAUGUGACAAGGUAAGGGUGAUAUACAGAAGAAAGCCCUAUUUGGUAAAAGACCAAGUCCAUAUUAUGGCAAGAACAGCUCAAAUAAGCAAAGAGAAACGACAGUCCAUCAUUACUUUUAGACAUAAAGGUCAGUCAAUGCGGUAAAUUUCAAGAACUUUGAAAGUGAAGUUGCAAAAACCAUCAAGCUCUAUGAUGAAACAAGUUCUCAUGAGGACCACCACAGGAAGAAAGGAAGACCCAGAGUUACCUCUGCUGCAGAGGAUACGUUCAUUAGAGUUACCAGUCUCAGAAAAUGCAUCCCAAAUAAAUGUUUCACAGAGUUCAAGUAACAGAAACAUCUCAACAUCAACUGUUCAGAGGAGACUGCGUGAAUCAGGCCUUCAUGGUUGAAUUGCUGCAAAGACACCAUUAUAAAAGUACACCAAUAAGAAGAAGAGACUUGCUUUGAACAAGAAACACUAGAGCAGUGGAAAUCUGCCCUUUGGUCUGAUGAGUCAAAAUGUUGGAUUUUUGGUUCCAACCGCCGUGUCUUUGUGAGACGCAAAGUAGGUGAACGGAUGAUCUCCGCACGUGUUGUUCCCACCGUGAAGGUUGGAGGAGGAGGUGUGAUGGUGCUUUGCUGGUGACACAGUCUGUGAUUUAUUUUGAAUUCAAGGCACACUUAACCAGCAUGGCUUCCACAGCAUUCUGCAGCAAUAUGCCAUCCCAUCUGGUUUGUGCUUAGUGGGAUCAUUUGAUUUUCAACAGGACAAUGACCCAACACAACUUCAGAUUGUGUAAGGGCUAUUUGACCAAGAAGGAGAGUGAUGGGGUGCUGCAUCAGAUGACCUGGCUUCCACAAUCACUCGACCUUAACCCAUUUGAGAUGUUUUGGGAUGAGUUGGAUCGCAGAGUGAAGGAAAAGCAACCAACACGUUCUAAGCAUAUGUUGGAAUUCCUUCAAGACUGUUGGAAAAGCAUUCCAGGUGAAGCUGGUUGAGAGGAUGCCAAGAGUGUGCAACGCUGUCAUCAAGGCAAAGUGUAGCUACUAUGAAGAAUAUAUAUAUUUUGAUUAGUUUAACCAUUUUUUCGUUACUACAUUAUUCCAGAUGAGUUAUUUCAUAGUUUUGAUGUCUUCACUAUUAUUCUACAAUGUAGAAAACAGUAAAGAUUAAGAAAAACCCUUGAAUGAGUGGGUGUGUCCAAACAUUUGACUGGCACUGUAUGUAGAGUUCAAAAGGUACUUGCACUCAAAACCAUGAAAAGGAAUAACCAAAUAAUGCACUUAAUUUAAUCAAUGCUCCAAAGAAUACAAAAAGGUGCUAGAAAACAAAAACGGAUUAUACAUUUUGACCUCAUGCCUUCAUCAGUGCUGUACAAACAAAUUAUGAAGACAGUUUAUGUGCGUAACAGGCACAACAGGUGCAAGCAGAUAGUUGAUUAGAUACUGGCGAAUAGGGCGUCAGUGCAUAUUAGCAAGGAAUAUGUAGAAGAAUAUAAAAAAUGGACAAUCAAAUGUCAGAUAUAAUUGGAAAGAGACAACAGUCUGGUCUAUAUAAUAAUAUCAGAAGCAAAAGACAUGAAAUAAUAAAGUAAGCUAAAAAAACGGAGAGUGCGGGAGGGAGGAACAUUAACUUGAAGGGUAGUCCCUCGAGACAAGGCUAUUCUAGUGUUAUUGUUAAACAUUUGAAAGGAGUAUAUAGUACAGUAUAUUGAAGUGUUUUAUUUUAUGUUGCUUGUGAGAUACAGAAAUGAGUUUGGGAUGGCUUUAAUCAGGGAAACUGUAGCAUAGACACUUCCCUUCUUACUGUAACUUCCAAAGGUAUUUGUGAUUUUGAAUGCAUAGAAAAUAAUAAAAGCAAGUAACUUUUUGAAACAUUCUGGACCUAAUUUCUCAUUAUCUACUACUUUUGAAACAUUCUGGACCUCAUUUCUCAUUAUCUACUACUUUUGAAACAUUCUGGACCUAAUUUCUCAUUAUCUACUACUUUUGAAACAUUCUGGACCUCAUUUCUCAUUAUCUACUACUUUUGAAACAUUCUGGACCAAAUUUCUCAUUAUCUACUACUUUUGAAA
rnacentral:lncRNA from 1 species